ensembl:lncRNA
CAGAGAGAGAGACAGAGUGACUGAACUGGAGAAGGACCUUGUGAUGUCACCGAGUGGGGAGACGUCAGAGGCGGCAUCCGAGUCCUCCUUGAUCCUGGGUUUUGGCACCACUGUAGAACCUGGUGUGCAUAGGCGAGGUUCGGAGGAAGACUCGUGAGGCAGGCGGAAUUUUGUUGUGUUUAUUUAUUUUAUUUUUUGGAGUUGCUGCAAGUUCAAAGAAACACAUAUAAGUAGAUUGGCAGUAAUAAGACCCAGGUGACUACCAUCACGCAUUACCUGCUGGCUCCUCUCUGUCUGCUCUGAUGCUCAACCACCCUCCCUCCAAGUUCAUGGAUCCGCUCAACAGAGAUCAUGACUAAGCCACUGACUCUUUCUCACAGCAUCGUAGAGCACAGCGUCUGCCACAGCUGCCGACGUCCAGAGGAUUUUCAAAAGAUUGCCGAGCACACCUCGCCUGACUGUCCAAGGUAAUGCCAAACCUCAUUCAGUAUACUACUGCUCAAAUCUGGAUGCGUCCCGUAAUUAACGGUGCAAUUUGUUUCGCUCAUUAGGAAUUCUACUGCACUGUGAAACC